CCAGGGAGGAGAAGCAGGCCGUGAGUAGAGCUGCCGUCUUCUUGGGCACGGAAAGCAACAAAGCUGCCAAGGCAAAAAGACCAGUUUUCCAAGAAGCUGGAGGAGUGCCAACAUCAUUCUCCGAUGAACAAACUUGGAAACCAAAGAAUUAGUCAACGAAGCUGGAGGCUCGCCUACAGAAUGCUUGGCAUGGCACAGGCUGCUCCGGAGGGCAAGGAGAAGGACCGCCAGACAGCCAAGGCGCAAGGGGUAUAGCAACACCUGACCCACAGUGAUGUUCAGGAUGAUGGGUAACCACACGGACACCAACGAACCCCUCAUUCUGUAGCCAUCCCACAGAACCAUCCCGCAGGCUGGCCAUCAAAAACCCAAGUUGUCGACAGGAACGUAUUACCUCUUGCUGAAGCUUAAACAUGGAAGCAACAGAGUGUGCAAACCUGUAAUCUCAUCACUCGGGAGGCUGAGCAAGGGAAGCAUAAAUCUGAGGCCAGGCUGAGCUACACAAUUGCAGUCAGUCAGCAAGAGUUCCAGUGAUGACUCCUGUGCAGGCCUUGCAUCAGGCACAGAGAAAGAUGCAAAUGGCCAAGAAACCCAGGCCCCUGGCAUUUCCCUGAGAUACAUCGUCCUUUCUUGCUUUCCUGCCUGAAACUGUUAAUCCCAAAGAUGGGAGGGGAAAAAAAUAAAACC